rnacentral:rRNA from 1 species
CCUACGGGAGGCAGCAGUGAGGAAUAUUGGUCAAUGGACGAGAGUCUGAACCAGCCAAGUAGCGUGAAGGAUGACUGCCCUAUGGGUUGUAAACUUCUUUUAUAUGGGAAUAAAAUGUUCCACGUGUGGGAUUUUGUAUGUACCAUAUGAAUAAGGAUCGGCUAACUCCGUGCCAGCAGCCGCGGUAAUACGGAGGAUCCGAGCGUUAUCCGGAUUUAUUGGGUUUAAAGGGAGCGUAGGUGGAUUGUUAAGUCAGUUGUGAAAGUUUGCGGCUCAACCGUAAAAUUGCAGUUGAAACUGGCAGUCUUGAGUACAGUAGAGGUGGGCAGAAUGCGUGGUGUAGCGGUGAAAUGCUUAGAUAUCACGAAGAACUCCGAUUGCGAAGGCAGUUCACUGGACUGCAACUGACACUGAGGCUCGAAAGUGUGGGUAUCAAACAGGAUUAGAUACCCGGGUAGUC